rnacentral:rRNA from 1 species
GAUGAACGCUGGCGGCGUGCCUAAUACAUGCAAGUCGAGCGAACAGACGAGGAGCUUGCUCCUCUGACGUUAGCGGCGGACGGGUGAGUAACACGUGGAUAACCUACCUAUAAGACUGGGAUAACUUCGUGAAACCGGAGCUAAUACCGGAUAAUAUAUUGAACCGCAUGGUUCAAUAGUUCAAGACGGUUUUGCUGUCACUUAUAGAUGGAUCCGCGCCGCAUUAGCUAGUUGGUAAGGUAACGGCUUACCAAGGCAACGAUGCGUAGCCGACCUGAGAGGGUGAUCGGCCACACUGGAACUGAGACACGGUCCAGACUCCUACGGGAGGCAGCAGUAGGGAAUCUUCCGCAAUGGGCGAAAGCUUGACGGAGCAACGCCGCGUGAGUGAUGAAGGUCUUCGGAUCGUAAAACUCUGUUAUUAGGGAAGAACAAAUGUGUAAGUAACUAUGCACGUCUUGACGGUACCUAAUCAGAAAGCCACGGCUAACUACGUG